AUUAUGAGUUAGGUGUCAGUUCGGUUUUCCGGUCUAAAUUCAGAAUUUCAUUUGAAUAAUUAGUCAAAUACAUCGACAAUUGGAAAUCCUUGGCUUACGGUCCUAGGAUACGAGGAUUCAUGACUGCCAGUGUAAAUUACGAAAAGAAGCAAAAUGAUAAAUCUGAAGAUGUUAAAGCAAUCGACGAUCGUGCAUCUGUGUUUCGCUAUUUCGUAUUUCACAUCUGGAUUGCUGUUGAACUUUGUACAGGCGAUUUUAUACUUUGGACUUAAACCGUUCAACAAAAAAUUGUAUAGGCAAAUAAAUUAUUAUCUUUCAUAUUCAUUUUACAGUCAAUUAGUAUUCAUGUCAGAAUGGUGGGCUGGGUCCACCAUGUCGUUAUAUGUAAAAAAAGAUGAAUACGAAAAGUUUUAUGGAAAAGAACAUGGAUAUUUAAUUAUGAACCACAGUUAUGAAAUAGAUUGGUUGAUGGGAUGGCAAUUCUGUGAUGGAAUCGGCGUUCUAGGCAACUGUAAAGCUUAUGCUAAGAAAUCAAUCCAGUAUCUGCCCCCGAUUGGCUGGAUGUGGAAAUUUUCAGAAUUCGUAUUUCUAGAAAGAUCUUUUGAAAAAGAUAAGGAAAUUAUCAAGAAGCAAAUAUCUGAACUUUGCGACUAUCCGGAUCCUGUUUGGCUAUUACUGACACCCGAAGGUACAAGAUAUACGAAAACGAAACACGAAGCGUCUGUUAAUUUCGCGAAGGAGAAAAAUUUGCCGAUUCUCAAGCACCACCUAACACCGCGCACUAGAGGCUUCACGACCAGCCUUCAGUUCUUCAGAGGGAAGAUACCGGCUAUUUAUAAUAUUCAAUUAGCUUUCGAAAAAGAGAGUAAGACUCCGCCAACACUGACAAGUUUAUUAUACGGGAAGCCAGUACACGCACACAUGUACAUUGAGCGGAUACCGGUUGAGAAUAUACCGGAGGAUGAAGCCGAAGCAACCAAGUGGAUGCACGAUCUUUUCGUCACAAAGGAUAAAAUGCAAGACUCAUUCUUGAAUACUGGAGAUUUCUUCUUACAAUCUGGCGUGGAGAGAGUUGAGGCUUUCACGUCGCGUCCGCGGAUAUACUCACUGUUGAACACUCUCGGCUGGGUGGUGAUCACACUAACUCCGAUGCUGUACUAUUUACUCGGUCUUCUGUUAAGCGGAAAGCUUUUGUAUUUCUCAAUUGGUUGCAUCAUAUUUGCCGCAUUUUUCGUUCUCUUACAAAAAUCUAUUGGAAUGUCAAAGAUAAGCCAAGGAUCUUCAUACGGAACUGAAAAGAAAUAACGCAAUUAAUAUAUUUUAAUUAAUUACAUAGUAAUAUGUAAAACAUCUAACAAAACUUUAAGCAAUCACAAUUGAAGAGUAAACUCCAGUCGCGUAAAGAAGCUGACACGCACAUUUUUUUAUUCGAAUUUUUAGCCUAAGAUUAUAUGUGAUUACUAUUAUUAUACUACUACUAUACUAACUAUUAUUAUAAAGAAUUCAUAAUUAAUUUGUCGGUAAGUACUAUGAUAGGUGAAGUACUAUUUUUCACGGUUAAGAAAUUUUUCGGAUAAAAGAGAAAGCAAAAAUAUAAAACUCAAAUUUAAACAAUAAAUUUUCCCUCUAGUAAAAUUGAUGCUGAUAAAGUUACAUUCACUACUAUUUUAACAGCAACAUUUUUGUGCCCAAAGUAAAUAUAUAGUGUAUCAGUACGGGUACGGGUCGAAUCGAAUAUCGAUCGUAGUAUUCGAUUAGUAUUCAAACCAACAAAGCCGAACAGUUGGAAUUUGACGACGUGUAUUUUCGCGCUUCACGCACCGCAUGAUAUAGAAUAGUUAUUUGUGCAACAAGAGAGCAAAAUUGUUUUUUGUUUCGAGUGCUGAUUUUGAGUCCUGAGCGUAGGGAGGGACUCAACAGCACGAGAUGCAACAAACUUUGCUCUCUUGUUGCACACAUAACUCACCUCAGAGGUGAGAACACAUAUUACUUAGGAGACAUAGAAAUGAACAGGAAUACAUUGAAAUAACGUUUAUUAUUUAAUAUGAUUUCUUUACAUUUUAGGGUAUUACGCGUUUCCGAACGUGUUUCCUUUGAGGUCGAAUUCCAAAAUCGAAUUUCGAAGG